CCUCCAGCCAAAGGUCUCCGCUCCCUUCCAUGGUCUUCCUCCCCUGACUAGGUGAGCAGCAGCUCAGGCAGCAGAGAGCAUCCCAGCCUGGUGUGGGGCACGUGUGAAAUCCAGCUGGAGGGAGAGGAGCAAGGAUAGGGCAAGCACGCCACCGCAUGGAAGCCAGGGAUGGCAAGAAGAGGCAUCCUUAACCCCUGGGUGCUGGAGGAAGGCGAGCUUAGUAUCCAUCCACUGACUGCAUCCCCGUUUCCAGAGGAUCUUUGGUGACACUCCUGAUUCAAGGAGAGAAUCCAGCCUCCUUGGAGCAGUCAGCCUGCCUGGGGCUGCGCGCAGAGGCAGAAGCCCUUUCGUCUAAGCGGCUGAGAUGUACAACCUAAUUAAACCGGGAUCUCUGCAUCUAUUCUCAUCAUCACAGAGGCCAGCACAGAGCACAGACAGGUCCACGGUACAAUCAGCUGAUGAGCAGAGAAGGGACCGCAUGGGCUGAGGGACCGGGAGCUUACCAGGGUCACGUCUCAGCUCUGACCACCCAGCUGCCCAGCCACUGUGGGAUCAAGGCUAAGCUUGAAGCCUUAAGACCCAGUUCUGGCGUGACUUAGGUCCCGCUCAUGAAAGAUUCUCCAGGGUCUCUGCUGCUACAGAAAACUACAGACUGAAGGGAAGUUGGCAGGCAAGAGGAACACCUGGCAUUGUCCAAAGUUCAGAGCCAUCUUCACAGCACCUGUUUUAGUGCCUAUGGACCCCGAUGAGAACCAGGGGCUCACCACACUGGGUGCUGUACAAGCACACAGCACAAGGCAUUAAUGAGCUACCAUCUAAAAGAGAGAGACAGCAGGCGAAUUCAGCAAAACAAUGGGCUGGCAGGCCAGAGUUCUUUGGAGACGUGGCAAGCCACCUUGUGCCAGUGCUGUACCCCCCUCCCCCUGGGACGGAGCAGCAGGGGGUUCAGGCACCUGGACAAAAAUUAAUAACCGGAGCUACUGUAGCCAAGAUGGAGAAGCCAGCAUUUUCAGAAGCAGCAUAACACUUGAAUACCUAAUGGCCAGCACCAUUGUCCUGAUGUUCAGAGAGGCUAAGUGUCUGCAGAUCCCAUAGGCUUCUGCUGGAGCGACACGGGCUCAUCAGCUCUGAACAAGGAGGUAUUGGGUAUCUUGAGCCGGGCUCCAGAUAACUGAGUCCAAACGAAAAGUACUUCAUCUUGAUGCGGUGUGGUGCUGUGUUGAGAUGCCGGUGCUACUUCAGCCUGUCUGCACAGCACAGUGAAGACUCAUGCCAGAGGUACUGGCUGAAGUCUCAGCUGGAGAUUAGCCAGUGGGGCUAGCCUGGAGCAAAGCACCACUGUCAUGGUUAUGCUGCUUCUAGUGCCAGCUUGGCAUCUCUACAUAGUGCGGCUCUGCAGACAUGUCCUUAGCAGCCAGUUUUGGAAAUGCCAACCUAACCAGGGCAUAGCCUGAGAGGCAGUGAUUGCAGAGCCGGGGUCAGACCACAGGAGUGCUUUGCUCUCCAUUUCAUUGUCGUGCUGCCAGACCUCAGGCAGCGCGAGUCAGUGCAGCUCCUUUAGCACCGGGCACCAAACCACAGCUGCCGAGGCUGCAACUGUUUGUAGCGAGGUGCCCACAACAUGGAGGUGAUUUCUGCUUUAAACGAAUGCUGGCUUUACAACAGGUCCUUCCAUCCAAAGAUUAUUCCCACUCCAUCCUUGGACACCCAUUCAAAGCUUUAGAGCAUCGAACUUGGAGCCUAGUCCAGAGCUCAUUGCAGUUGGUGGGAAGAUUGCGAAUGAUAUCUGGAUUGGGCUGGUGGCUCUGGAUUUGGUACCUCCACCUGGCAGAUGCUGUGGGAGGAGGGAGAGGGAGAG